rnacentral:rRNA from 1 species
UACGUAGGGUGCGAGCGUUGUCCGGAAUUAUUGGGCGUAAAGAGCGUGUAGGCGGCUUGACAGGUCUGCUGUGAAAACUCGAGGCUCAACCUCGAGAUGUCGGCGGAAACCGUCUGGCUAGAGUCCGGAAGAGGAGAGUGGAAUUCCUGGUGUAGCGGUGAAAUGCGCAGAUAUCAGGAGGAACACCGGUGGCGAAGGCGGGUCUCUGGGCCGAUACUGACGCUGAGGAGCGAAAGCUAGGGGAGCGAACAGG